UACAGAGGGUGCAAGCGUUAAUCGGAAUUACUGGGCGUAAAGCGUGCGUAGACGGUUAUGUAAGUCAGAUGUGAAAGCCCCGGGCUCAACCUGGGAAUUGCAUUUGAGACUGUGUAGCUAGGGUGCGGAAGAGGGAAGCGGAAUUUCCGGUGUAGCGGUGAAAUGCGUAGAUAUCAGGAGGAACACCUGUGGUGUAGACAGCUUUCUGGACCAUUGCUGACGCUGAGACACGAAAGCGUGGGUAGCAAACAGG
rnacentral:rRNA from 1 species